CUGCAUCUCCUGCAUUGGCUGGCAGAGUCUUUACCACUGAGCCACCUGGGAAUUCCUGCAAUAGUUUCUCGUACAUUUCAGAAAAAAAAUCAUUGUCAUCCAGGAGCAUAUAGUCAAGAAAAGCGAACAGAAAAAAGACAUGAAGCUAUUAUUAAUGAUGCAAGGCUGUGUAUGGUUAUGUAUCUGUUUUUAGAGUCAAUCAGACUGAGCAUUAGUGGUCCAGAGGAAGGAGAUAUCAAUAUGGACUUUGGCAGUGGGAAAGGUCUCAUGGAGUAUAAAUGACCUGAACUAGAACUGAAGUUAGGGAGAAUUGGGACAGGUGAAGAGAAGGGGAAUGAGAAGCUAAAAGUAAGAAAGUAAUAUGGCAUGAUGAGGGGCAGUGAACCCCAAAGUUGGUAGGGUAAUGGACUAGAUCUGCUCUUUUUUUUUUUUUUUUUACAAUUUGGAGUAUAGCUGUGCUACAAUAUUGUGUUUCUGCUGUACAACAAAGUGAAUCAGCUCUAGGUAUACAUCCAUCCCGUCCAUCUUUUGCUCCCCCUCCUACCCCAUCCCACCCUUUGUGCUUUGUGCACCAGAUCCCUAAAAGGAACAAUAUUUUCCUCUCUUGGUUAGUCAUAGUCACAUUUUUUUUCUCUGAAUAGAAAAGUAGGCUUAGCCUAAAUACCUUGGAUGAGGCUGAGGUACCAACUUGCCUGCCAACUAUGCUUUAAACGAGCAGCUUUCCUGGCUACACAGACUAAGGCGAGCUAUCAGGAGGAGAUUGUGUGUGUAGAUUUCCCAGAAUAUCUGACCAUUGUCUGGGUCACAGAACUGAUAUUCCAAGUACAAGUCAGAUCAUUUCCAUUCAUGGACAUAAUAAGCGAAAUGCUUCUCUGUUAGGUAAGUUGUUUGAAAAUGGCUGGUUCCUGAGCACACAUUCUUUAUUUUUUACAGGACAAAUGUUGUAUGCCCACAGCAUAGGGUAAGAUGUCAUAAAAGAUUCUUGUUCAGAGUUUAAUUAUUGUACACAAGACUCCAGCAGAGUGAUUUCAAAGCCUUUUUGAAUGACCGAAUAUUCAGUUUUCUGAGGCCACAGCUGUCUAUUCUUAUGCUUUACGGAGACCUUCCCUUCCUCUAUUUGUUGAAGAUAUAAAACCACAUCUCAAAACCCAUGUAAAAAUACUAUAAAAAGCAUCCAUGAUUAAUAGAAUGUUUUCUACAUUAACUGUCUUAACCAAUUCUAUUAAAAGAAAUUUUAAAGAAUAUCUCCCCCCCUUUUUUCUCCUUCCAAGUUUUAGGGGAUGUUCCAAAUAUGGAUGCCUUCUGUCAGAAUUCCCUCAGAUUGACAGGGUGGCUUGAUGAUCGUGAUAUAAAAAGAUAGAAAGAUUCUCCUUGUUCCCCCCACCCCCCCCAACACACACAAAGCCAUUUGACAACUAAAAAUGUGCCUAAGAAUUUGGUACACUGAUGAAAAUGGGGGUCAUAUACCUUAUCCGAGACUGUUUCCUUUUAAAACAUGACAAGAAACAGGCAAGGUGCUUUUGAACUUAAUAUUAUUAACUCAUUGCUUUGGAUGCUCCUUUCUCAGGGACUGUGCCUUGUCUGAGAAUCACCUCCUCUUCCUCUCUCUCUCAGUAUUUUCUUCUCCACAGUCCCCUAUGCUAACUUCUCUGCAGAUUUCAUUUUACUUAUGAGAAAUUGAAAUGAUAAUGUAACUGAGAUGGUGAUGGUCAGUUUUCAAAGAAGUAAUCCAGCACGUUGAUGAGAAAGAAUCACCAGAACUCAAGCACUUGUAAGAAGCCUAAGAUAAAAGACUCUUGUUUUCUUGGCAAGCCCAAUAGAUGUUCUGCAGUGACAAAUGAUAUAACUGUUAUCUUGACACCAUACUCUCCCAUGUUGAAACUGUUUAUGAGAAACAAACAGCAUAUGAAAAACAGAUUGCCAGACACUAAGUAAAUCACUAUAAAGGGUGGUGAGUCAAGUAUUGCCAGUUUUACCCACAUUGUCAUUGUUAUGAUGUAACACAUUCCUGGAGACUGAUAUUGUAUCCAAAUUUGGGCACAAAAACCUCCUCUUGAUCAGUUGGCUGAGAUUCCCUGCAGUAUAAUACGUUACACACACACACGGAGACACAGACACACACACACACAGACUUGGAUGCACACCCAACCUGAGUGAGGCACAAAGGACAAUCGGGAAAGGAUGGAAUAUUAAAAAGGUGUGCAGAGAUUAUACAAACUGUAAAUUUCAGCCCUUGCCCAGGCAAUAAACCCAGUAAUCCUCUAAGCUCUGCUAGCAAUGAUUAAUAAACAGUGGGUGUGCUAAACAUAUGGAAAAAUCAUCCCAUCUGGGCCAUUUAAAACUAGGACAUAGACUUUAUCUUUGUUUAUUUCAUCCUUAGCUAAAAGGCUUAUUAUGAAUUGCAAUAAUCCAAGAAGCCAACCAUGGAAGACAGACAAACUCUUUAGAUAAAACCAAAAAAGCAAGUUCUGUAACCGAGGACCAGAUGUAUUUUUGGGUUUAGCCCUUGUACAUAUUUAGCCGAGCUUUUCAAGUGGUGAAGAUUUGCAUGUUUGUUUUGCAAUACUAAUGAAUAUGUUUUUGAUUUACAUUUUAGAAAAUGGAAACUUUUAUCUUCUUGGGGCUUUGUAACUUAAUGACUUCCAGAGGGUGGCUCGGUGUCCUCUUUUAACCCUUCACCACGAGAAACGUAUCUUUUUCAGAGGCCCAGGGCUCUAUCUUGCUGAAUGAGACCCUGAAGAUAAUGUGGUUCUGUCUUUUGUUGCCGGAAUGGCAAGGGUUGAAGAGCUUUCAGCUUUCAAUCUAGUGAAAACGUAUGUAAAUGGCAAAUUAUUUUUAAACUGGCUUUAAUGUGAAUUCUGGGGGUAUACAGAAUAACUCCACAGAUGAUAUUUAUAUGAGAUGAAUAAGGACAACUCUUUUGGAAAAACAUUGCUUUGAGAGAUAAACGAACUGAACAACCACACUAAGAAUCACAACAAUGGCAACCACAACCACCAUUUCUUGAGGGCCUUCAAAGUGCUAGAUGUUAAGCAAAGAACUUGAAAAGUAUACUUUCACUUCUUUAUUGAAUCUUCAAAGCCGCCCACUCAGGGUUUAACAGCAAGCUUCGCAUGAGCUGACUGAGCUGACUCCAAUUGUAUUGAUAGCAAAGCCAUAGCUGACAUUCCCUGGCUGGGGCAUCGGAUCUAUGAAGACUGUGAGCUGAGUUCUUUAUGAAUCAGACAGAAGGGCUUCCAUACGCUUGAAUGUGGUGUGGGUGCAUGCAUGUGUGUUUGGGGUUGGAAAAUGGGCUCUCUAACUUCCUUUUCUUCACUUUUGAAAUUUUAUUUAUUUUUAAUUAAAAGAUAAUUGCUUUA